CCUGACCCCAUGCCGAACUCAGAAGUGAAACGCCGUAGCGCCGAUGGUAGUGUGGGGUCUCCCCAUGUGAGUGUAAGGCCCUGCCAGGC
rnacentral:rRNA from 1 species